UACAGAGGGUGCAAGCGUUAAUCGGAAUUACUGGGCGUAAAGCGUGCGCAGGCGGUUCGUUAAGUCAGAUGUGAAAGCCCCGGGCUCAACCUGGGAACUGCAUUUGAAACUGGCGGGCUUGAGUGCGGCAGAGGGGGGUGGAAUUCCGCGUGUAGCAGUGAAAUGCGUAGAGAUGCGGAGGAACACCGAUGGCGAAGGCAGCCCCCUGGGCCGACACUGACGCUCAGGCACGAAAGCGUGGGGAGCAAACAGG
rnacentral:rRNA from 1 species